rnacentral:rRNA from 1 species
UAGAGUUUGAUUCCUGGCUCAGAUUGAACGCUGGCGGCAUGCCUUACACAUGCAAGUCGAACGGCAGCACGGGAGCAAUCCUGGUGGCGAGUGGCGAACGGGUGAGUAAAGUAUCGGAACGUGCCCAGUCGUGGGGGAUAACGUAGCGAAAGUUACGCUAAUACCGCAUACGAUCUAUGGAUGAAAGCGGGGGAUCGCAAGACCUCGNGCGAUUGGAGCGGCCGAUAUCAGAUUAGGUAGUUGGUGGGGUAAAGGCUCACCAAGCCGACGAUCUGUAGCUGGUCUGAGAGGACGACCAGCCACACUGGGACUGAGACACGGCCCAGACUCCUACGGGAGGCAGCAGUGGGGAAUUUUGGACAAUGGGCGCAAGCCUGAUCCAGCCAUGCCGCGUGCAGGAUGAAGGCCUUCGGGUUGUAAACUGCUUUUGUACGGAACGAAAAGGUUUGGCCUAAUAAGCUGAGCUCAUGACGGACCGAA